ACUCAAAGGAAUUGACGGGGGCCCGCACAAGCAGUGGAUUAUGUGGUUUAAUUCGAAGCAACGCGAAGAACCUUACCAGGGCUUGACAUGGAGCAGACAGUGGUAGAGAUAUCAAAUCCCCUUCGGGGGCUGCUCACACAGGUGGUGCAUGGUUGUCGUCAGCUCGUGUCGUGAGAUGUUGGGUUAAGUCCCGCAACGAGCGCAACCCCUAUUGUUAGUUGCUACGUGAGAGCACUCUAGCGAGACUGCCGUUGACAAAACGGAGGAAGGCGGGGACGACGUCAAAUCAUCAUGCCCCUUAUGUCCUGGGCUACACACGUAAUACAAUGGCGCAAGAACAGAGGGAAGCGAAGCCGCGAGGUGGAGCAAAUCCCCAAAAGGCGUCUCAGUUCGGAUCGCAGGCUGCAACCCGCCUGCGUGAAGUCGGAAUUGCUAGUAAUCGCGGAUCAGCAAGCCGCGGUGAAUACGUUCCCGGGCCUUGUACACACCGCCCGU
rnacentral:rRNA from 1 species